rnacentral:rRNA from 1 species
AGUGAACGCUGGCGGUAGGCCUAACACAUGCAAGUCGAACGGCAGCACAGUAAGAGCUUGCUCUUACGGGUGGCGAGUGGCGGACGGGUGAGGAAUACAUCGGAAUCUACUUUUUCGUGGGGGAUAACGUAGGGAAACUUACGCUAAUACCGCAUACGACCUACGGGUGAAAGCAGGGGAUCUUCGGACCUUGCGCGAUUGAAUGAGCCGAUGUCGGAUUAGCUAGUUGGCGGGGUAAAGGCCCACCAAGGCGACGAUCCGUAGCUGGUCUGAGAGGAUGAUCACCCACCCUGGAACUGAGACACGGCCCAAACUCCGACGGGAGGAAGCAGGGGGAAAUUUUGGACAAGGGGGGCAAGCCUGACCCAGCCAUCCCGGGUGGGUGAAGAAGGCCUUCGGGUUGUAAAGCCCUUUUGUUGGGAAAAAAAAGCAGCAGGUUAAUACCCCGCUGUUCUGACGGUACCCAAAGAAUAAGCACCGGCUAACUUCGU